AUUGAGCGCUGGCGGCAGGCCUAACCCGUGCAAGUAGAACGAGUGGCGGACGGGUGGGUAUAGUCUGGGAAACUGCCUGAUGGAGGGGGAUAACUACUGGAACAGGUAGCUACUAAAGCAUACGAUCGGACGUGAACCGAUGGGAUUAGCUAGUAGGGGGGGUAAAGGCUCACCUAGGCGAAGCUCCCUAGCGGGUCUGAGAGGAUGACCAUAGACAGUCAAACUGAGGCACGUCCUAGAGGCUAACGGGAGCCAGCAGUGUGGAAGAUUGCACAAUGGACGCAAUCCUGCUGCAGCUUUGCCGCGUGUAUGAAGAAGGCCUUCGGGUUGGAAAGUACUUUCUGCUGUGAGGCGUUGCCCGCAUAACAAGCUCCGGCUAACUCCGUGCCAGCAGCCGCGGUAAUAC
rnacentral:rRNA from 1 species